UGGCGGCAUGCCUUACACAUGCAAGUCGAACGGCAGCGCGGGAGCAAUCCUGGUGGCGAAGUGGCGAACGGGUGAGUAAUAUAUCGGAACGUGCCCAGUCGUGGGGGAUAACGUAGCGAAAGCUACGCUAAUACCGCAUACGAUCUAUGGAUGAAAGCGGGGGAUCGCAAGACCUCGCGCGAUUGGAGCGGCCGAUAUCAGAUUAGGUAGUUGGUGAGGUAAAGGCUCACCAAGCCGACGAUCUGUAGCUGGUCUGAGAGGACGACCAGCCACACUGGGACUGAGACACGGCCCAGACUCCUACGGGAGGCAGCAGUGGGGAAUUUUGGACAAUGGGCGCAAGCCUGAUCCAGCAAUGCCGCGUGCAGGAUGAAGGCCUUCGGGUUGUAAACUGCUUUUGUACGGAACGAAACGGUGAGCUCUAAUACAGUUUGCUAAUGACGGUACCGUAAGAAUAAGCACCGGCUAACUACGUG
rnacentral:rRNA from 1 species